rnacentral:rRNA from 1 species
AACGAACGCUGGCGGCAUGCCUAACACAUGCAAGUCGAACGAGACCUUCGGGUCUAGUUGCGCACGGGUGCGUAACGCGUGGGAACCUGCCCUUAGGUUCGGAAUAACUCCCCGAAAGGGGUGCUAAUACCGGAUAAUGUCUUCGGACCAAAGAUUUAUCGCCUUUGGAUGGGCCCGCGUUGGAUUAGCUAGUUGGUAGGGUAAAAGCCUACCAAGGCGACGAUCCAUGGCUGGUCUGAGAGGAUGAUCAGCCACACUGGGACUGAGACACGGCCCAGACUCCUACGGGAGGCAGCAGUGGGGAAUAUUGGACAAUGGGCGAAAGCCUGAUCCAGCAAUGCCGCGUGAGUGAUGAAGGCCUUAGGGUGGUAAAGCUCUUUUACCCGGGAUGAUAAUGACAGUACCGGGAGAAUAAGCUCCGGCUAACUCCGU